rnacentral:rRNA from 1 species
ACGCGGUGAAUACGUUCCCGGGCCUUGUACACACCGCCCGUCAAGCCAUGGAAGCUGGGGGUACCUGAAGUACGUAACCGCAAGGAGCGUCCUAGGGUAAAACCGGUAACUGGGGCU